GACGAACCGUGCUAACGUUGUUCGGAAUCACUGGGCUUAAAGGGCGCGUAGGCGGCCAACUAAGUCAGACGUGAAAUCCCUCGGCUUAACCGGGGAACUGCAUCUGAUACGGGCGGGCUAGAGUUCGGUAGGGGAGACUGGAAUUCCUGGUGUAGCGGUGAAAUGCGCAGAUAUCAGGAGGAACACCGGUGGCGAAGGCGGGUCUCUGGGCCGAUACUGACGCUGAGGAGCGAAAGCGUGGGGAGCGAACAGG
rnacentral:rRNA from 1 species